AUUGAACGCCGGCGGAAUGCUUUACACAUGCAAGUCGAACGGUAGAGGGGGCAACCCCUCGAGAGUGGCGAACGGGUGAGUAAUAUAUCGGAACGUGCCCAGUCGUGGGGGAUAACGUAGCGAAAGUUACGCUAAUACCGCAUACGAUCUAAGGAUGAAAGCGGGGGAUCGCAAGACCUCGCGCGAUUGGAGCGGCCGAUAUCAGAUUAGGUAGUUGGUGGGAUAAAGGCUCACCAAGCCAACGAUCUGUAGCUGGUCUGAGAGGACGACCAGCCACACUGGAACUGAGACACGGUCCAGACUCCUACGGGAGGCAGCAGUGGGGAAUUUUGGACAAUGGACGCAAGUCUGAUCCAGCCAUUCCGCGUGCAGGAUGAAGGCCCUCGGGUUGUAAACUGCUUUUGUACGGAACGAAAAGGUCUCUCUUAAUACGGGGGACUCAUAACGGUACCGUAAGAAUAAGCACCGGCUAACUACGUGCCAGCCGCCGCAGUAA
rnacentral:rRNA from 1 species